CCUUUUUCUCUUAAAUCAUCUGGAUAUCUCAAAUGCAGUGCCACUAAUGAAAAUGGAAUUGGGACUGCAAUCUAUGCAAUUAGCAUUAGUGAUAUUGAUGGAAAUUUUGUCUUCAGAAUAUUGGCCAAAAAAAAACCACAGAAAUUUCUAGACGUUUGUCAACAGUUAGAGAUCAUUGAAAAUGAUGAUUUUUACCUAGAGUGUGGAGCGUUAGGUUUAGCUAUAAGAGAGUCAGCCUUGAAAGUCCAGAGUUGCCAGUAAAGGAGAAAGUUUCAAAUUACACCCUGGCCAAAUAUGUAGAGGCAAACAAAGUAGCUAUGAAUUUUAAAAGCCUUCGAUGCA